rnacentral:rRNA from 1 species
GUGGGGAAUAUUGGACAAUGGGGGGAACCCUGAUCCAGCCAUGCCGCGUGUGUGAAGAAGGCCUUUUGGUUGUAAAGCACUUUAAGCGAGGAGGAGGCUACCGAGAUUAAUACUCUUGGAUAGUGGACGUUACUCGCAGAAUAGGCACCGGCUAACUCUGUGCCAGCAGCCGCGGUAAUACAGAGGGUGCAAGCGUUAAUCGGAUUUACUGGGCGUAACGCGCGCGUAGGUGGCCAAUUAAGUCAAAUGUGAAAUCCCCGAGCUUAACUUGGGAAUUGCAUUCGAUACUGGUUGGCUAGAGUAUGGGAGAGGAUGGUAGAAUUCCAGGUGUAGCGGUGAAAUGCGUAGAGAUCUGGAGGAAUACCGAUGGCGAAGGCAGCCAUCUGGCCUAAUACUGACACUGAGGUGCGAAAGCAUGGGGAGCAAACAGGAUUAGAAACCCUGGUAGUCC